rnacentral:rRNA from 1 species
UACGUAGGGUGCGAGCGUUGUCCGGAAUUAUUGGGCGUAAAGGGCUCGUAGGCGGUUUGUCGCGUCGGGAGUGAAAACCAGGUGCUUAACACCUGGCUUGCUUUCGAUACGGGCAGGCUAGAGGUAUGCAGGGGAGAACGGAAUUCCAGGUGUAGCGGUGAAAUGCGUAGAUAUCUGGAGGAAUACCGGUGGCGAAGGCGGCAUCCUGGACCGGCAUUGACGCUGAGGAGCGAAAGCUAGGGGAGCAAACGGG